rnacentral:rRNA from 1 species
UACGGAGGGGGCUAGCGUUGUUCGGAAUUACUGGGCGUAAAGCGCACGUAGGCGGAUAUUUAAGUCAGGGGUGAAAUCCCGGGGCUCAACCCCGGAACUGCCUUUGAUACUGGGUAUCUGGAGGUCGAGAGAGGCGAGUGGAAUUCCGAGUGUAGAGGUGAAAUUCGUAGAUAUUCGGAGGAGCACCAGUGGCGAAGGCGGCUCGCUGGCUCGAUACUGACGCUGAGGUGCGAAAGCGUGGGGAGCAAACAGG